rnacentral:rRNA from 1 species
GUGCCAGCCGCCGCGGUAAUACGUAGGGCGCAAGCGUUGUCCGGAAUUAUUGGGUUUAAAGGGUGCGUAGGCGGCCCUGUAAGUCAGUGGUGAAAUACCUCAGCUCAACUGAGGGGGUGCCAUUGAUACUGCAGGGCUUGAGUACAGAUGAGGUAGGCGGAAUUGACGGUGUAGCGGUGAAAUGCAUAGGUAUCGUCAAGAACACCGAUAGCGAAGGCAGCUUACCAAGCUGUAACUGACGCUGAGGCACGAAAGUGUGGGGAUCAAACAGGAUUAGAUACCCUGGUAGUCCACACUGUAAACGUUGAUGACUCGAUGUUGGCGAUACACUGCCAGCGUCCAAGAGCAAUCGUUAAGUCAUCCACCUGGGGAGUACGCCGGCAACGGUGAA